rnacentral:rRNA from 1 species
AACGAACGCUGGCGGCAUGCCUAACACAUGCAAGUCGAACGAGACCUUCGGGUCUAGUGGCGCACGGGUGCGUAACGCGUGGGAACCUGCCCUUAGGUUCGGAAUAACUCCCCGAAAGGGGUGCUAAUACCGGAUAAUGUCUUCGGACCAAAGAUUUAUCGCCUUUGGAUGGGCCCGCGUUGGAUUAGCUAGUUGGUAGGGUAAAAGCCUACCAAGGCGACGAUCCAUAGCUGGUCUGAGAGGAUGAUCAGCCACACUGGGACUGAGACACGGCCCAGACUACUACGGGAAGCAGCAGUGGGGAAUAUAGGACAAUGGGCGAAAGCCUGAUCCAGCAAUGCCGCGUGAGUGAUGAAGGCCGUAGGGUUGUAAAGCUCGUUUACCCGGGAUGAUAAUGACAGUACCGGGAGAAUAAGCACCGGCUAACUCCGUG